rnacentral:rRNA from 1 species
UCUAUAUAUUAACCCCCCCGUCAGAUUGAACGCUGCGGCAGGCAUAACACAUGCAAGUCGAGCGGCAGCGGAAAGUAGCUUGCUACUUUGCCGGCGAGCGGCGGACGGGUGAGUAAUGUCUGGGAACAUGCGCGAUGGAGGGGGAUAACCACUGGAAACGGUGGCUAAUACCGCAUAACGUCUUCGGACCAAAGUGGGGGACCUUCGGGCCUCACACCAUCGGAUGUGCCCAGAUGGGAUUAGCUAGUAGGUGGGGUAAUGGCUCACCUAGGCGACGAUCCCUAGCUGGUCUGAGAGGAUGACCAGCCACACUGGAACUGAGACACGGUCCAGACUCCUACGGGAGGCAGCAGUGGGGAAUAUUGCACAAUGGGCGCAAGCCUGAUGCAGCCAUGCCGCGUGUGUGAAGAAGGCCUUCGGGUUGUAAAGCACUUUCAGCGAGGAGGAACGGUAGUGUUUUAAUACGGCAUUACCUUGACGUUACUCGCCGAAGAAGCACCGGCUAACUCCGUGCCAGCAGCCGCGGUAAUACGGAGGGUGCAAGCGUUAAUCGGAAUUACUGGGCGUAAAGCGCACGCAGGCGGUUUGUUAAGUCAGAUGUGAAAUCCCCGAGCUUAACUUGGGAACUUCAUUUGAAACUGGCAGACUAGAGUCUCGUAGAGGGGGGUAGAAUUCCAGGUGUAGCGGUGAAAUGCGUAGAGAUCUGGAGGAAUACCGGUGGCGAAGGCGGCCUCUCUGGACGAAGACUGACGCUCCGUCUAGCCG